rnacentral:rRNA from 1 species
AGCGUUAUCGGAAUUACUGGGCGUAAAGCGCAUGCAGGCGGCCUGUUAAGUCAGAUGUGAAAGCCCGGGGCUUAACCUCGGAAUUGCAUUUGAAACUGGCAGGCUAGAGUCUUGUAGAGGGGGGUAGGAAUUUCAGGUGUAGCGGUGAAAUGCGUAGAGAUCUGAAGGAAUACCAGUGGCGAAGGCGGCCCCCUGGACAAAGACUGACGCUCAGAUGCGAAAGCGUGGGGAGCAAACAGGAUUAGAUACCCUGGUAG